rnacentral:rRNA from 1 species
GAUGAACGCUGGCGGCGUGCUUAACACAUGCAAGUCGAACGGGAAUUACUUUAUUGAAACUUCGGUCGAUUUAAUUUAAUUCUAGUGGCGGACGGGUGAGUAACGCGUGGGUAACCUGCCUUAUACAGGGGGAUAACAGUCAGAAAUGACUGCUAAUACCGCAUAAGCGCACAGAGCUGCAUGGCUCGGUGUGAAAAACUCCGGUGGUAUAAGAUGGACCCGCGUUGGAUUAGCUGGUUGGUGAGGUAACGGCCCACCAAGGCGACGAUCCAUAGCCGGCCUGAGAGGGUGAACGGCCACAUUGGGACUGAGACACGGCCCAGACUCCUACGGGAGGCAGCAGUGGGGAAUAUUGCACAAUGGGGGAAACCCUGAUGCAGCGACGCCGCGUGAAGGAAGAAGUAUCUCGGUAUGUAAACUUCUAUCAGCAGGGAAGAAAA